AUGUUUUAUGGUUCUAUAGUGCCAGCAGUUAGUACAGUCUCAGCGCCUGCAUGUGGUUCUGUAUCCUCUACUGACAUAGCCUCUAAGGGGAAGUCGGCGUCUGAACUGAAAAAGCAUUAUGCUAGAAUCGGUCACUUCCACUAUGAAAAGAGGCCAAACUGUUUUCUCAGAAUCAUGCAGGACAAGCGGUGCGAAACCCAUUUGGUAUUACCCGACGGUGCGGCCUCUCUUUUACAGACCAGCAUUCUGAGCUUGCCCAGGUUUAUCAAUCUAGAGACUAGCACGGGCUGUGGCUAUUGGCGUGUUCAGUUGAAGCAAGGAGAAGAUGGAAUGCUGGAGUUGGGUGCGUUGUGGUGUGCCUUUCCCAAGUUCCAUGGACUGAGGGUUGGAUGCGUGGCUGAAUUUGAGGUUGUAAACCCUGAUCUCAUGAAGGUGAACAUCUACAACCAGGCAGGAAUUGAGGUGGCAUACACGCUGUGUGGCGAUGUGAAUUUCUUUACGUCGGAUAAGUGA
rnacentral:rRNA from 1 species